rnacentral:lncRNA from 10 species
GCAGCCAAUGAGCGGCAGCUUCAUUGCAGGCAUAAAAAAAGGAAUCUUUAUUUGGCUUAAGAGGGUACUUGCUCUUGGAAGAGUAGACUUUCAUCAGAUGGACAGGAGAGAUGGAGGUGUAGGCAGAGGGAAUGGCUCUGCAGGCUGCAUGCCGGGACGCAUGGCGAGUCGAAUGGCUGACGUGUGACAUGCAUCAAGGUACUGGAAGGAUAGGAGCUCCCAGGACUCUUUGACAGCCCAGAUGGCACAGGGGGUUGGGUCUUCAUGGAAGAAGGAAGCGGGCCCGACACAGGUAGAUGUACCCAUUGGCAGCCAGCAGAGGGGGCUGCAGGUGUGAUGCUUGACCAGGCAAGAUUCCGGGGCUCAGGAUUCUGCCACGCACCAUGAGGAUGUACACACAGCUGGAGCAGAUUGUGGUAGAAAACCAGACACUGGGGACCCUUCGUGCGGCCCUAUUUGGCGGAGCCUUGUGGGGCUUGAUUUUGGAAUUACUGAAUUCGUUAGAAGAGGCUGUUGUGCUGGAGAAGAAGCUGGCUGCUGAGCUGCAGGGAAUGGACAUACCGAGGGCAGAGUUCAGCUGUGAGGGCUGCAGGUAAGG